GAAUUAGCUCAAGAGCUUAGAGGGCCACAAAUCCGAUAAAGGGAAGGAAAAAGUAGUCGAAUAGCCAUCGGAAUCGUUUGACAACAUCCGAGAUUUUGCUCGUUAACGAUCGGAUUCGGGAUCAUUGAAGUGAAGUCAUCCACACUAUCAAACCUCCUUUUGGUACUCUUUUGGUUGAACUUUGGAUAUGGCAUGUAUAGGACUACCCUCGGUUGUUUUCAAGUACUUUGUGAUGUAUAUGUGUACGGCCAUGCGAAAAUGGUUCGUAAAA